GACAGAGGGUGCAAGCGUUGUUCGGAAUUAUUGGGCGUAAAGGGCGCGUAGGCGGCCUCGUAAGUCAGACGUGAAAUCCCUGGGCUUAACCCAGGAAGUGCAUCUGAUACUGCUUGGCUUGAGUCUCGGAGAGGAUGGUGGAAUUCCCAGUGUAGAGGUGAAAUGCGUAGAUAGUCUGGAGGAACACCGGUGGCGAAGGACGGCAUCCUGGACCGGCAUUGACGCUGAGGAGCGAAAGCCAGGG
rnacentral:rRNA from 1 species